ACCUACGGGGGGCUGCAGUUAAGAAUCUUGCACAAUGGGGGCAACCCUGAUGCAGCGACGCCGCGUGGAUGAUGAAGGCUCUCGGGUUGUAAAGUCCAGUAAGCAGGGAAGAAUAAGCGGGGGGUAAUAUUCCUCGUGAUGACGGUACCUGCCUAAAGCCCCGGCUAACUACGUGCCAGCAGCCGCGGUAAUACGUAUGGGGCAAGCGUUGUUCGGAAUUAUUGGGCGUAAAGGGCGUCUAGGCGGGGGAUUAAGUUAGAUGUGAAAGCUAUGGGCUCAACCCAUAAACUGCAUCUAAGACUGGUUCUCUUGAGUUCGGGAGAGGAGAGCGGAAUUCCAGGUGUAGCGGUGAAAUGCGUAGAUAUCUGGAAGAACACCAGUGGCGAAGGCGGCUCUCUGGCCUAGAACUGACGCUGAAGCGCGAAAGCGUGGGGAGCGAACAGGAUUAGAUACCCUGGUAGUCCG
rnacentral:rRNA from 1 species